rnacentral:tRNA from 1 species
GGGGUCGUGGGCUAACCUGGCAGACUGCCGGCCUUGGGCGUCGGUGAUCCUAGUUCAAAUCUGGGCGACCUCA